GUACUCACUUCAGCAGCACAUAUACUAAAACUGGAAUGAUACAGAGAUUAGCAUGGCCCCUGCACAAGGAUGAUAUGCAAAUUCAUGAAGCAUUCCAUAUUUUU